CCUACGGGUGGCAGCAGUGAGGAAUAUUGGUCAAUGGACGCAAGUCUGAACCAGCCAAGUAGCGUGCAGGAUGACGGCCCUAUGGGUUGUAAACUGCUUUUGUACGGGAGUAAACGGGGGUACGUGUGUCGUUUUGAGAGUAUCUUACGAGAAAGAAUCGGCGAACUCCGUGCCAGCAGCCGCGGUAAUACGGAGGAUGCAAGCGUUAUCCGGAUUUAUUGGGUUUAAAGGGUGCGUAGGCGGGUGGAUAAGUUAGAGGUGAAAUCCCGGGGCUUAACUGUGGAAUUGCAUCUGAUACUGUUGGGCUAGAGAGUAGAUGCGGUAGGCGGAAUGUAUGGUGUAGCGGUGAAAUGCUUAGAGAUCAUACAGAACACCGAUUGCGAAGGCAGGUGACCAAGCUACAUCUGACGUUGAGGCACGAAAGCGUGGGGAGCAAACAGGAUUAGAUACCCGAGUAGUC
rnacentral:rRNA from 1 species